rfam:Gossypium arboreum cultivar AKA8401 contig_5839_3, whole genome shotgun sequence.
AAUAGGAGAAUGAUAAAUUAGAUUUUUCCUCCUGAUUUUCAAGUUUUUCCUCUUGAAAAAAUUCAAAUCCAACUAAAAAUAUUGAAAAUUAGGAGGAAAAAUCUAAUUUAUCAUUCUCCUAUU